ensembl:lncRNA
GACUACGUGUGUGGUGUGCUGAGCAGCUGGUCCCCAUCAGACCAGCCUCAAGCCUUUCCUAAGGAGGCUUUUGCUUCAGUCACAGCAGACCCUGUGUGGGGAUGGGUAACUCGGGAGGAGCGUUGCCUUGGCAACACAACGACUUAGGAGGGUGGUGCUGGUAACCAGGGCUGCUUUUGACCUUCACCAUCUUUCGGGCUGGUGGCUUUAUCAUUGCCUGCUCUGCUGCUGGGGUCUUCCCAAGUCUGUACUGAAAAGCCAGCCUCAGGGGAGGCCUUUGGCUACCCCCUUUCACCCACUUUCUCAUCUUAGAGGGCAUUGCCUUGAAUUACAUUUCACCAGAAGGUGCCACUUGAAAGCAUCUAAGCCAAAGCUGAGCCCCUGUUUGCCCUGGAUUUACCCUGUGGCUGCCACGCCAGGCCACCCCUGCUGCUCAUCCUGCAGCUAUAACCAGACAAGCAAGGUGACCUCCAGUUUCCAGAUGGAUCCAACGUAAAAGAUGGUGAAACAGCCUCAGCAUCACGUAUCCAGAGGAUCAAACACAGCACCUGUGAACUGCCUUCAGCAGUGCUCUGCAAACAGCACCUGUGAACUGCCCUCAGCAGCCCUCUUCUCCAGACC